rnacentral:lncRNA from 1 species
GUUAAUAAAGGGAAUAUAGUUUUCUUAUCUGUGUUAAGACACUGAUGACUUGCAAAGAAAAGUAACACUUUUGUGAUAUCCUUAGGUAAUUCAAGAGGAAACGCUUGAGCAAUUACUGAUGUUGUAAACUGGGAUCAGAAGACAUACAUGGUAUCGUAUCCCAGGCAAGGCACAGUGGCUCACACCUGUAAUCCCAGCACUUUGGGAGGCUGAAGAAGGCAGAUCACUUGAGGUCAGGAGUUCGAGACCAGCCUGGCUUACAUGGUGAAACCCAUCUCUACUGAACAUACAAAAAUUAGCUGGACAUGAUGGUUAGCUGCACCUCUACUCCACGUGUUCCUCCCUUCAGGUCCCAGGCUGAUGGAGUAGCCUCUGUGUGUUUGGGAUGUUGUCAGUCAUAAUGGUGGACACAAAAGAGAUUAUGACAAACCGUGUAUUGUCUCCUACAAUUUCUGCUCACAGAAGUGGACAACAUCACUUCUUUCCACAUUUCAUUGACCAGAGCAAGUCAUGUGACCAAGCCUGAUUCAAAAUAGGCUGGAGCAAGGAGGAGCAGCAAACAUAACAUUCCCAGUUUACAGCUGAGGAAAUUAAGCUUCAAGUUGCCCAAGUUUAUAGAAUGAGUCAAUGGCAGAGGUUGAACUCAGGUCAGUAAUCAACACCACAUCCUUAACCACAUGCUUUCUUACAUCUUUCAUUAAUUGACACCUGCCUAGUUCUUAAGCUUCUCCCAUUCUCCACUUUUUACAUUCUACAAUGGUGCCAUACCAUGUAUCUGCAGUUCCCAGAACAGUACUGCAUUAUGCAAUAGAUGAACUGGUAUAUGCUGAAUAAAUCAUCAACACAGAGGCAUGAAUAUAUUUUUAGAGUAUUUAUUAUUUUUUAAAUGAUGAGAACAUUGGAAAAAUCAGAAAGACUUCCCUACAUGUAGUUUUAUAGUUAGCAUUAUUUUUAUUUUGAAUUUCAAGUGGGAAAGCACUAUAAUAUUUUGGUGCAUAGAGCCUGUAAAUUCCUUAAUCUAUUUCUACAAACAAGCCAUGGUGUCCGUCAUUGUACUCUUUGCACAAAGAGCCCCUUCGGUUUAGAACAUUUACCAUGCCCAACCCUAUCCUUCAUCUAACUCCAGCACUUACCUUAAAAGUCGCUUUCUCCGGGAAACCUUCCCUGACUGGGCUGAGUGUUCACAGUGUUUAUCCCUGUUACAAUUACAUCACGUUGUAUUGUUAAAAGAUUAGGUUCCUUGAAGGCAAAAGCUUUUUUUACCCACUGUUUUAUUCCCCAAAUCUAACAUAGAAUAGAUAAUACAUUUUUCAACAGUCAUUUAUCACUUUUUUCCUACAUUAUAAUUACCAUUUUUGAAAUGUUGAUUGACACUUGUCUGACUCUCAAGGUGCCAUGAAGUGAAACAUUAGUCCACAAGAAAGGCUGUUUUUUUUUUAAUGGUCUUUCUUUGAUAUUUGUAAAUCUCCCAUAGAAAGAGGAAAAGAUAAAAUGAACUAGUUUUUAAAAAAGUAUUAACAGGGUUGUUUUUUUUUUUUUUUUCUGAGGCGGAGUCUCGCUCUGUCGCCCAGGCUGGAGUGCAGUGGCGCCAUCUCGGCUCACUGCAAGCUCCGCCUCCUCGGUUCACGCCAUUCUGCCUCAGCCUCCUGAGUAGCUGGGACUAUAGGCGCCCGCCACCACGACCGGCUAAUUUUUUGUAUUUUUAGUAGAGACGGGGUUUCACCGUGUUAGCCAGGAUGCUCUCGAUUUUCUGAUCUCGUGAUCCGCCCGCCUCGGCCUCCCAAAGUGCUGGGAUUACAGGCGUGAGCCACCGCGCCCGGCCCAGGGUUUUUGUUUGUUUUGCAUUUUAAGGAGCUAGAAAGGUAGAGGAGGCUAAACGCCAUCUACAUCUCAGGGUUUUUGUUUGUUUUGCAUUUUAAGGAGCUAGAAAGGUAGAGGAGGCUAAACGCCAUCUACAUCUCAGGGUUUUUGUUUGUUUUGCAUUUUAAGGAGCUAGAAAGGUAGAGGAGGCUAAAAGCCAUCUCUACUCAUAUUUCCAAACACCUGGUAUUACAGUAAUGUCCUCUCUCACAGUUUGUUCACACUUCCCAUAUUCAGGGCUUUGAGUAGUGUCCUCCCACACUGAUUCUGGAUUUGUCCAAGUGAUUUACUUUGCUAGUGAGAUUAAGGUAAAUAUGAUGAGAUAAAAAUAAAUGUGAUGCAAGAAACAACUUGAAAAGUGCUUGAAUGCUGAGGCUGCCAUGUGAUGAGGUCCCAGUAAGAUCCAGCCUGACAACCACCAGGCAUGUGAGUGAGACCAUCCUAAACCAACCAACUUGCACAGCUAGUGCAAACCAAAAGAACUCCCCAGCAACUCACAGAAUGGUGACAAGUAAUAAAUGUUUUUAAGCCGCUAAGCCUGGGGUAGUGAACAUUGAUACAAUGCCUAACACACACUGAGGCUCAUGACCUCUAUUGACAUAUAUUUUUCUUAUAACAUAGCUUGUAGUUCCAUUCAUUCAACCAAUAUCCGUAGUCGAUUUACUUAUAUAAGAAGAAAUUCUUUUUUUAAAAAUGAAAUUAAAGUAACUCAUUGCAUCAAAGGAAAUGCUGAAUAGGCUUCCAAGGCACCAGCAACCAUAAAAUCUCUAGGAAUCAGAGCUGCCAAAACUUGUUCAGUCAUGGACUUUUUCUAUAGAAUGCUCCUGCAUUCAGCUUACUCAGUAACAAUCACCCACCCUGGGUGUUGAGAUACAAAUUAUCAAAAUAGAGAAUCUAAUUGACUUUGCUUAAGUGUAUGCCUAUCACUGAGUAAGGAAGAGGGAUUUAUUACAAAUAGAAGUUGGGAGAUCACUUGGCAUGCUAAAAGUUGUGACUCUAAUAAAGAUAAUACUUUAACAAGAACUAGAUUCUAAUUCUUUUUCUUCAAUAAACUAAUAACUUUUUGCAUGUAAUUUUCCAGAAGGUAGAUAUUAAUUUAUGAGAUGGAGAGCUGUAUGUUUGAAAGACAAAUUCAAAUCACAAACAAACAUACAAGUACACAAAACAUCAAAACAAACCUAGUGCAAAUUAUCAUUAUAUAAGACUUUCUGGAGGCUGAAAAACAAUAAUGAUCUUAUAAGGUCUUAUAAGGUCUUGUAAGGUCUUGUAAUGAUCUUGUAAGGUCUUAUAAGAUCUUAUAAGGGUUUUUCCAUCAAUUUCAGAUUCUUUAGAUUCACACCGUGUUCUAUUUCCUCUUGAGUUUCCCUAACCCCUACAGCCUCUACUCCCUUCUCCUUCUUGUGACCUCUUCUAAUACUUAACUGACCAGCUACUUCUUUAUAUGAAUUUUUUUUGCCAAGUAAGUUUUAAUCUGUUUCAGAUAAGAAUUCAGUUUUUAUUUUUUUGUAUCCUUUUAUACAAAAAAAUAUGAUUUUUUAUACGAUUAGUAUUUUAUUCAAUAACUGUUUAAAAGUAUAGAAACUGAAUAGGAAUUUAAGAAUAACCUAAUUCAGUAUCUUCAUAUUUACAGAUGACAAAAUUGGGGUCUGGACGUGUGCAAGGACUUUUCCAAAGUCAGCUGGAAAGGUAAUAGAAGACACAAGUUACCUGCUGUAAGAUCCAGGGCCGGAUUCAAUUCAGGCUUUGUUAAUUGACAGAAUGUGAUAGCUAUUUAAUUCAGGCUUUGUUAAUUGACAGUGCAAUAGCUAUUUAAUUAAAAGUAGACUGAAAUAAAAUGCUAAAAUAAAAAAGCUAACCACAAAAUAGCGAUAUUAAAUCACAUUAUUAUUUAUGCAUUAGUUCAUUUCCUCAAUAUUUGGACUACAAAUAUAUGAAUAUAUCAACAAAAAAUUUAAAAUGGAAUGUCUCUAAUAAAGGAUACAAAUAAUAGAUACAAACGGCCUUGGACAUUUUGGUAAUUAUGAUUUGAUAGGUAUGAGACCAAAAUGCACAAGGCUGUUGGUCCUCCUCCUUUUUUAAGUAUAUUUUGCCAUUAAUUUAAAGUUAGGAGAAAGUUUUAAAAGGUUUAUAGAUGGCCCAAAGGCAUGAAUACGAGAAAUGUUGGCCUUUGUUUGUGCUUUUUCAUGAAAAAUACUUAAACCGAAAAGGAAAGAAAUUAUUACAUGAGAUUUGUUGUUCUUUCAUUUUCUCAAAUAAUGGAUGUCUUUAAAACAUUUUCACCUAAUUUUAGUGACUUUGUUUUUUUUUUUUUGGCAAUAAUAUAAGAUUACUGUCUCGUGUGUGUGUGUGUGUGUGUGUGUAUAUAAAAUACAGAAGAUUCUUGAAAAAUGGCAACUUAGCCAUAACUCCCUUUCCCUCUCUUCCAUCUCUAAGACAUUUGCCUCCCUUGAGCCAAAUCCUUGCCAAGGCCUAUAGGAAGGUAGGAGAAGGUGGGACCUUGACCUGUGUUGGGGACUCUGCUAUGGGAAGUAGGUUCACGACUUGCUCCCCCGUGGACUAAGCAAACAAAUGAAGAACAGUGGUAUUGGUGGCUUCUGAACUUCUUAAUCCUGAAUAGUUUGGUUUUCACAGAUCUCUGGGAAGACACCCUCCCUUCAACAAAGUUGGUAUAGCACCAUAUGAGAGAGUCUUAGAUUUCAUUGACUCCCAAAAGUCCAAGAAGUUUAAUGGGGAUAAUGAGUCUUCCCUGCUUAUAUUAGUUAUCUGUUGCCAUCUAAUGAAUUACUCCAAACCUUAGGGGCUUACUUAAAGCAACAAACGUUCAUUACAUCACAGUUUCUGUGUGUUAUGAUUGCAGGAGCUGCUUAGCUGAGAGGUUCUGGCUCCAGAGUCUCCUGUGAAGUUGCAGUCAAGAUGUCUGCUGGGACCCCAGUCAUUUGAAGCCCUGUCUGGGGCAGGAGAAUCUAGGUCCAAAAUGGCCGUUGCAGGAGUCCUUAUCCACACCAUGUGGGACCUCUUCAUAGAUGUUCGAGUGUCCUCAUGGCAUGGCCACUGGCUUUCCCCAAAGUAAGCAGUCCAAAAGAGGGUAAGACAGAGCCCACACUGUCUUUUAUGAAUUAGCCUUAGAAGUCUAACACGGUUACUUCCACCACAUUCAUUAGUCGUUAGGUACAGCUCACAUUCAUGGGGAGGAAAAUCAGGGCCUGUCUUUAGAUAGGAGAUGUAUCAAAGAAUUUGUGGACAUAUUUUAAAAUCACAGCACUACUCUUGAUGUACUAAGUCAGUGACUCCCCCAGGAGUCUCACAGAGAAUUGACUCCUUGCCCACCUAUACUACCUUUGUGGGUAGAGACUCCAGUAGUGUGCUGGUUAAUGUUCAACCAGUGGCUUUCUAGAAAACAAAAUGUAUGGAUACAUAUAUAUGUUCUAAGUUUUACUGAUAUGAAGAAUGUGUAGCACAGAAUUUAUAAAUAAUAAAAUAUACAGUAUUAUUUAUUGUAAAUUCCAUAAAACCUGUUGUUUUUCACAAAAGGUUUUAGUUUAUUUUUCCCAAAUGCUUGUAUUGGUAACAUUUUCUGUAUUACCUUUUUAUGUCCAGACAAUCAACAAAACUGAAAAAGCCCAGCCUUGUAGCAUUUGCCAGUUAUUGUGUAAAUGUCCCCACUAUGGUGGAUUUCAGGUUACCACUAUGAUAUCACAGAAUGCAGAAUUGGAAGGAGAUUCACAGCAGCACCCCAUUAUACUAUAUUUUCACCAUACAGAUGCAGUCGAUGUAAAUUACCUGAGGAGCAUAAAUAAUAAUAAAAUGAAGUUAAAUAAUUCGGAAAUGAUUUUGAAAAUUGUGUUGGUUUUUAAUGUAAGUUUAUAUGUCAGCUUUAAUAAAAUCUGUCUUUAACAAC